AUUGAACGCUGGCGGCAGGCUUAACACAUGCAAGUCGAGCGGUAGCACAGGGGAGCUUGCUCUCUGGGUGACGAGCGGCGGACGGGUGAGUAAUGUCUGGGAAACUGCCUGAUGGAGGGGGAUAACUACUGGAAACGGUAGCUAAUACCGCAUAACGUCGCAAGACCAAAGAGGGGGACCUUCGGGCCUCUUGCCAUCAGAUGUGCCCAGAUGGGAUUAGCUAGUAGGUGGGGUAAUGGCUCACCUAGGCGACGAUCCCUAGCUGGUCUGAGAGGAUGACCAGCCACACUGGAACUGAGACACGGUCCAGACUCCUACGGGAGGCAGCAGUAGGGAAUAUUGCGCAAUGGGCGCAAGCCUGAUGCAGCCAUGCCGCGUGAGUGAAGAAGGCCUUCGGGUUGUAAAGCACUUUCAGCGAGGAGGAAGGUGGUGAGCUUAAUACGUUCAUCAAUUGACGUUACUCGCAGAAGAAGCACCGGCUAACUCCGUG
rnacentral:rRNA from 1 species